GCGCCUGUGGUCUAAUGGCUAGGAUUCAACCCUUCCAAGUGCUUGUUGCCAGUAGAAAGGUUGAGGAUCGGGUUCGAUUCCCGGCGGGCGUA